rnacentral:rRNA from 1 species
GCAGUAGGGAAUCUUCCGCAAUGGACGCAAGUCUGACGGAGCAACGCCGCGUGAGUGACGAAGGUUUUCGGAUCGUAAAACUCUGUUGUGAGGGAAGAACAAGUACCAACUAACUACUGGUACCGUGACGGUACCUCACCAGAAAGCCACGGCUAACUACGUGCCAGCAGCCGCGGUAAUACGUAGGUGGCAAGCGUUGUCCGGAAUUAUUGGGCGUAAAGCGCGCGCAGGCGGUCCUUUAAGUCUGAUGUGAAAGCCCACGGCUCAACCGUGGAGGGUCAUUGGAAACUGGAGGACUUGAGUGCAGAAGAGGAAAGUGGAAUUCCACGUGUAGCGGUGAAAUGCGUAGAGAUGUGGAGGAACACCAGUGGCGAAGGCGACUUUCUGGUCUGUAACUGACG